GGCAACGUUCAUAUCACGCUCAAAGUACCAGUUCUCGUCCGAUCACUGAAGUCAAGCAGCGUUGGGCACGGUUAGUACUUGGAUGGGUGACCGCUUGGGAACACCGUGUAAUGUUGUCC
rnacentral:rRNA from 1 species